CUAUUUUAAUAUUAAGAAAUCUUUGGAUCUAAAUCUAUGACCUUUUAAUUUUUUCCUCCCCCAAGAAGAAAGUUAUCUUAAACUCGCUUAGGUAAAUAUGUGCCAGCACCUGCGGUUAUUCAUAUAAUUCUAUUAAAAUUCUCUAUAUCUAAUCUUUUUCCCCCCCCUAAAACAAAGAUCAAAGUGAAAUUUUUCUUAAACAAUUCUUUUCUAAAAUUAGAAAAAACCAAGAACCAAAACUAGGAUUAGAGACCCUACUAUUCUUUCUCAAAAAGGUAAUAUCUAUUAGAAAAACCUUUAUUCUUUGGCGGCCUAUUUUCUUCUCAGAGGAACUUGUUUUUUAAUUCGACAAUACCCGAUCAAUUUUACUUUCUUAAGUUUUUAUACCGCCGUCUUAAAACUUAAUUUAAAUUUUCUUGUUCCCUUAGUUUACUCUAUCAAGUCAGGUCAAGGUGAAGCUUAUUUGAAAGACAAAAUGAGUUACUUUUUUAAUCUAUAUAAGGAUGAAAUUUCAAAAAUUUUUUAGAAUUAGGAUCUGAAAGUAAAUUUUUAAUAAAAUUUGACUUUGAAAAAGAAAAAUAGGUGUACAUAUCGCCCGUCACCCUUAUCAAAAGAUAAGGUAAGUCGUAACAUAGUUGAAGAACCGGAAGGUUUUUCAAGCG
rnacentral:rRNA from 1 species